rnacentral:snRNA from 1 species
ACAUGUGAGGGCGAUCUGGCUGCGACAUCUGUCACCCCAUUGAUCGCCAGGGUUGAUUCGGCUGAUCUGGCUGGCUAGGCGGGUGUCCCCUUCCUCCCUCACCGCUCCAUGUGCGUCCCUCCCGAAGCUGCGCGCUCGGUGGAAGAGGACGACCUUCCCAGAUAGAAGGAGUGUACCGAUCUUCGGUCAAGGGUAUACGAUAGCUGCGCUCCCCUGCUAGAACCUCCAAACAUCGAAGGUCCCUUCCAACUCUGUUAUUAUAUUGUUGACACUGUCAGUUGGUCUCUUACA